rnacentral:rRNA from 1 species
GAUGAACGCUGGCGGCGUGCCUAAUACAUGCAAGUCGAGCGAACGGACGAGAAGCUUGCUUCUCUGAUGUUAGCGGCGGACGGGUGAGUAACACGUGGAUAACCUACCUAUAAGACUGGGAUAACUUCGGGAAACCGGAGCUAAUACCGGAUAAUAUUUUGAACCGCAUGGUUCAAAAGUGAAAGACGGUCUUGCUGUCACUUAUAGAUGGAUCCGCGCUGCAUUAGCUAGUUGGUAAGGUAACGGCUUACCAAGGCAACGAUUCAUAGCCGACCUGAGAGGGUGAUCGGCCACACUGGAACUGAGACACGGUACAGACUCCUACGGGAGGCAGCAGUAGGGAAUCUUCCGCAAUGGGCGAAAGCCUGACGGAGCAACGCAGCGUGAGUGAUGAAGGUCUUCGGAUCGUAAAACUCUGUUAUUAGGGAAGAACAUAUGUGUAAGUAACUGUGCACAUCUUGACGGUACCUAAGCAGAAAGCCACGGCUAACUACGU